CCUACGGGAGGCAGCAGUAGGGAAUCUUCCACAAUGGGCGAAAGCCUGAUGGAGCAACGCCGCGUGAGUGAUGAAGGCCUUCGGGUUGUAAAACUCUGUCAUUCGGGACGAACCGGAGUCUGAGGAAAUGCAGACUCUCUGACGGUACCGGAGGAGGAAGCCCCGGCUAACUACGUGCCAGCAGCCGCGGUAAUACGGUAGGGGGCAAGCGUUGUCCGGAUUCACUGGGCGUAAAGCGCGCGCAGGCGGUGAUGUAAGUCUGAGGUGAAAACCCGAAGCUCAACUUCGGGACUGCCUUGGAUACUGCGUCACUUGAGGAUAGGAGAGGCAAGGGGAAUUCCACGUGUAGCGGUGAAAUGCGUAGAGAUGUGGAGGAACACCUGUGGCGAAGGCGCCUUGCUGGCCUAUUUCUGACGCUGNGCGCGAG
rnacentral:rRNA from 1 species